rnacentral:lncRNA from 1 species
GAAGGCAGCCUACCAGUGGAAUUGUUGUCCUCCAGAAGCAUCGUCUUCCUCGAUGUCAGCUUCAACCGCCUCGAUGGUCAUCUGCAAGAGAUCCAAUCCUCAAAUCAUAGUUUUCCUAUCAAGGUGUUGAAUAUCUCAAGCAACUCCUUCACAGGACCGUUCCCGUCCAAAACAUGGAAGGCUACGAAGAGUCUGGUUGCUCUUAGUGCAAGCCACAACAGCUUUGAAGGACCCAUAUCGUCUUCUAUCUGCAUCAAUGGCCCAUCAUUUGCCAUGCUUGACCUCUCACAUAACAAAUUCAGUGGCAAUAUUUCUCCGGGGUUUGGCAGUUGCGCCAUGCUGAGAGUGCUAAAGGUUGGCCACAACAACCUUACCGGACCUCUCCCCGAUGGACUAUUCAAUGCUACCUCACUGGAGCACCUCUCUUUGGCCAACAAUGGUUUGCAGGGUGUUCUUGAUGGUUCCAGCAUAGUCAAAUUAAGCCGUCUGACUGUCCUUGAUCUUGGAAUGACUGGUCUCAGUGGCAAGAUUCCAGACUCUGUCGGCCAGCUAAGAACAUUGGAGGAACUCUACUUGGACAACAACAAUAUGUCUGGUGAGCUGCCAUCGGCACUAGGUAACUGCUCAAAUCUCAGAUACAUUACCAUCAGAAAUAACAGCUUUAUCGGGGAUCUUAGCACAGUCAAUUUCACCAUGUUGGAUCUGAGGAUAGCUGAUUUUUCGAUAAACCUCUUCACUGGUCCAAUUCCUGAAAGUAUCUACUCAUGCAGCAAUCUAGUUGCGCUGCGGCUGGCUUACAACAACUUUCAUGGCCACUUCUCACCAAGAAUAAGCAAUCUCAGGUCCCUCUCCUUCUUUUCAAUUACCAACAACUCUUUUAAAAAUAUCACAAAUGCACUUCAGAUGCUCAAGAGCUGCAAGAACCUCACCUCCCUGCUUAUUGGAACUAACUUCAAGGGUGAAACCAUACCACAGGAUGAAACAAUUGAUGGUUUUGAGAAUCUUCAGGUACUGACCAUAGAUGAUUGCUCAUUGGUUGGGAAAAUUCCUCUUUGGAUAUCAAAGCUUGAAAAAUUGAAAAUGAUAGAUUUAUCAGUAAACCAACUCAGUGGACCAAUACCAUCCUGGAUUGAUGAACUGGGCUUCCUAUUCUACCUAGACAUAUCAAGCAACAACCUUACAGGGAAUAUAGAAAUUGCAUUGACAAAGUUGCCGAUGCUGCUAUCAGGGGAAAAUGUUGCGAAGUUGGGCCCGAAGUUCCUUGAGUUGCCUGUAUUUUGGACACCAUCACGUCAAUACCAGAUGGUCAGUGCUUUUCCUAGAAUAUUGUUUCUAGACAACAAUAAUUUCACUGGUAUAAUUCCCCCUGAGAUUGGUCAGCUAAAAUUGCUCAACGGCCUCAAUUUAAGCUCCAAUAGCUUAACUGGUGAAAUACCACAAGAAAUCCGCAACCUCACAAACCUGCAAAUGCUUGAUCUGUCGGACAACCAGCUCACAGGUGCAAUACCAUCUGCACUGAAUGAUUUGCACUUCCUUCCUACAUUUGAUGUUUCCAG